GCCAGCAGCUGUAAUUCCAGCUCUGUAAGCGUAUAUCAAAGUUGUUGCAGUUAAAACGCUCGUAGUCGAAUCUUGGCUGAACUUACGCGGAGUCCGCAAGGAUUCUGCGGUUGAGGAAAGCCUUUGUGGAUUGUGUGCGCGGAGGUGUUUUAUUACACUUCCGUUGUACUGCCACCGUUUACUGUGAAAAAAUUAGAGUGUUCAAAGCAAGCGAUUUGCCCUGAAUACAUUAGCAUGGAAUAAUAGAAUAGGACCUGGUCUUAUUUUGUUGGUUUGUAUAAUUUCAGGUAAUGAUUAACAGGGACGGUUGGGGGCAUUUGUAUUCCGAGGCGAGAGGUGAAAUUCUUAGACCCUCGGAAGACAAACAGCUGCGAAAGCGUUUGCCAAGGACGUUUUCAUU
rnacentral:rRNA from 1 species